UACGUAGGGUGCGAGCGUUGUCCGGAAUUACUGGGCGUAAAGAGCUUGUAGGCGGUUUGUCGCGUCUGCUGUGAAAAUCCGGGGCUCAACCCCGGACUUGCAGUGGGUACGGGCAGACUAGAGUGUGGUAGGGGAGACUGGAAUUCCUGGUGUAGCGGUGAAAUGCGCAGAUAUCAGGAGGAACACCGAUGGCGAAGGCAGGUCUCUGGGCCACUACUGACGCUGAGAAGCGAAAGCAUGGGGAGCGAGCAGG
rnacentral:rRNA from 1 species